GAUGAACGCUGGCGGCGUGCCUAAUACAUGCAAGUCGAGCGAACGGACGAGAAGCUUGCUUCUCUGAUGUUAGCGGCGGACGGGUGAGUAACACGUGGAUAACCUACCUAUAAGACUGGGAUAACUUCGGGAAGCCGGAGCUAAUACCGGAUAAUAUUUUGAACCGCAUGGUUCAAAAGUGAAAGACGCUCUUGCUGUCACUUAUAGAUGGAUCCGCGCUGCAUUAGCUAGUUGGUAAGGUAACGGCUUACCAAGGCAACGAUGCAUAGCCGACCUGAGAGGGUGAUCGGCCACACUGGAACUGGGACACGGUACAGACUCCGACGGGAGGCAGCAGUAGGGAAUCUUCCGCAAUGGGCGAAAGCCUGACGGAGCAACGCCGCGUGAGUGAUGAAGGUCUUCGGAUCGUAAAACUCUGUUAUUAGGGAAGAACAUAUGUGUAAGUAACUGUGCACAUCUUGACGGUACCUAAUCAGAAAGCCACGGCUAACUACGUG
rnacentral:rRNA from 1 species